AUUGAACGCUGGCGGCAGGCCUAACACAUGCAAGUCGAGCGGUAGCACAGAGAGCUUGCUCUCGGGUGACGAGCGGCGGACGGGUGAGUAAUGUCUGGGAAACUGCCUGAUGGAGGGGGAUAACUACUGGAAACGGUAGCUAAUACCGCAUAACGUCGCAAGACCAAAGAGGGGGACCUUCGGGCCUCUUGCCAUCAGAUGUGCCCAGAUGGGAUUAGCUAGUAGGUGGGGUAACGGCUCACCUAGGCGACGAUCCCUAGCUGGUCUGAGAGGAUGACCGGCCACACUGGAACUGGGACGCGGUCCGUACUCCUACGGGAGGCAGCAGUGGGGAAGAUUGCACAAUGGGCGCAAGCCUGAUGCAGCCAUGCCGCGUGUAUGAAGAAGGCCUUCGGGUUGUAAAGUACUUUCAGCGGGGAGGAAGGUGUUGAGGUUAAUAACCUCAGCAAUUGACGUUACCCGCAGAAGAAGCACCGGCUAACUCCGUGCCAGCAGCCGCCGUAA
rnacentral:rRNA from 1 species